AACGAACGCUGGCGGCAUGCCUAACACAUGCAAGUCGAACGAGACCUUCGGGUCUAGUGGCGCACGGGUGCGUAACGCGUGGGAACCUGCCCUUAGGUUCGGAAUAACUCCCCGAAAGGGGUGCUAAUACCGGAUAAUGUCUUCGGACCAAAGAUUUAUCGCCUUUGGAUGGGCCCGCGUUGGAUUAGCUAGUUGGUAGGGUAAAAGCCUACCAAGGCGACGUUCCAUAGCUGGUCUGAGAGGAUGAUCAGCCACACUGGGACUGAGACACGGCCCAGACUCCUACGGGAGGCAGCAGUGGGGAAUAUUGGACAAUGGGCGAAAGCCUGAUCCAGCAAUGCCGCGUGAGUGAUGAAGGCCUUAGGGUUGUAAAGCUCUUUUACCCGGGAUGAUAAUGACAGUACCGGGAGAAUAAGCUCCGGCUAACUCCGUG
rnacentral:rRNA from 1 species